UAUUUCACCUCGAUUUGAUUCAGAAUUUCGAAAUUUGUUUGCCUUCGUUCCCCGGGCAAGGCAAAACCCUCCUCAUUCUUCAAUUUCCAUAAACAAUCACUGUACGGUUAUCAGAAGGAGCUAUUAACAAUGAGUGAUUCAGGUGUGGUAUGGUAUAUAUAUAUAUGGGGCCAGUUUCUUACGGUGGUGCGCAUGCUCUGGUGGGUGAUGGGAUUGGUUUUCCAAAGUCGAUCAAUUUUUUCGCACCAAGUGACCAAAUCUAUCCAAAGGCCCGUUGCUUCUCUAUUCUUUGCACAUAUACUUGCUCCUCGAACUCAUCCUAGCCGUCGCUGCAACCCUGGCUCGAGCCCUCCUAGCCAUCGAUCGAGCUGGAGCCACAGUUCAACGAGCCCUACCUCUCCACCUCACUCCAAGACUUCUAGGGCAAACAAUGGAACCUCAUGGUUAUCAGCAUCCUACGACCCACCGUUGCCCGCAGUGCUCGCACUAUUAUAUCCUUAAUUUUAUUUUUUUCAUUUUUUAUUUAUUUUUAAUGUACAA